rnacentral:rRNA from 1 species
GAUGAACGCUGGCGGCGUGCUUAACACAUGCAAGUCGAACGAAGCAUUUAGGACAGAUUACUUCGGUUUGAAGUUCUUUAUGACUGAGUGGCGGACGGGUGAGUAACGCAUGGGUAACCUGCCUUGUACUGGGGGAUAGCAGCUGGAAACGGCUGGUAAUACCGCAUAAGCGCACAAUGUUGCAUGACAUGGUGUGAAAAACUCCGGUGGUAUAAGAUGGACCCGCGUCUGAUUAGCUAGUUGGUGAGAUAACAGCCCACCAAGGCGACGAUCAGUAGCCGACCUGAGAGGGUGACCGGCCACAUUGGGACUGAGACACGGCCCAGACUCCUACGGGAGGCAGCAGUGGGGAAUAUUGCACAAUGGAGGAAACUCUGAUGCAGCGACGCCGCGUGAGUGAAGAAGUAAUUCGUUAUGUAAAGCUCUAUCAGCAGGGAAGAUAGUGACGGUACCUGACUAAGAAGCUCCGGCUAAAUACGUG